GUAACACCCUUACUACCUGCCCUCGGGUCGAGAAUAAUCUCGGGAAACUGAGGCUAAUGAGCGAUAGGUCAAGAUUCCUGGAAUGGGUUUUGGUCUAAACGGCGUGACAGCAUCUUGUCAUGUCCGCCCGAGGAUGGGACUGCGGCCGAUCAGGCUGUUGGUGGGGUAAAGGCCCACCAAACCAGUAACCGGUACGGGCUUUGAGAGAAGGAGCCCGGAGAUGGACACUGAGACAAGGGUCCAGGUCCUACGGGGCGCAGCAGGCGCGAAACCUUCGCAAUGCGCGCAAGCGCGACGAGGUUAUUCCGAGUGAUUUCCGCUGAGGAAAUCUUUUCUUAGAUCUAAAAAGUCUGGGGAAUAAGGGGAGGGCAAGUCUGGUGUCAGCCGCCGCGGUAAUACCAGCUCCUCGAGUGGUCAGGGCGUUUAUUGGGCCUAAAGCAUCCGUAGCCUGCUCGGUAGGUCUCCUGUUAAAUCCAACGGCUCAACCGUUGGCCUGCAGGAGAUACCGCUGGGCU
rnacentral:rRNA from 1 species